ACAUUUUUUAUUUGCGAUUUCUUUGCAGAAAGGAUUUUUUUUUUAAUUCAGGAAUAGUCAGAAAACUUGGGCAAUUAUUUGUUUAGGUCGAGAAGAGAUUUUUAGACUAAACCUGGCAAGGAGUGGUGUAUCCUCAAAAGGUACCGCGACCGCGCUCAGCAAGCUAUUCGAUGCGCUCGACGCUCUUUCGCUGGCGCCGUAGCACCGCGGUAGGAGUCUGCGCUCUGGGCUCGACUGAGGCUCCCUGGUUGCUCGCGCUUUUCUCUCCUUCUCCAAGAUGGCGGCGGUCGGCGGCGCUGAGGCGGGAUCCGAGCGAGCCGAGUGAAGGUAGCGGCGAGCGGAGCCCCCACCAGACCCAGCCGGACCCCCACCCCGGGGCGGCAACGGCCCUGCCCGGCCUCCGCCCACCGCUCCGGCCCCCCGACACCGUCCCGGAGGCUCUUCAGGCCCGCCGCGGCCUAGCUCAGGGGCCAAGCCGGGAACUGGAGUAGCGGCCG
rnacentral:lncRNA from 1 species